AGCAUAUCAAUAAGCGGAGGAAAAGAAACCAACAGGGGAUUGCCUCAGUAACGGCGAGUGAAGCGGCAAGAGCUCAAAUUUGAAAGCUGGCUCCUUCGGGGUCCGCAUUGUAAUUUGCAGAGGAUGCUUCGGGAGCGGUCCCCAUCUAAGUGCCCUGGAACGGGCCGUCAUAGAGGGUGAGAAUCCCGUAUGGGAUGGGGUGCCCGCGACCAUGUGAAGCUCCUUCGACGAGUCGAGUUGUUUGGGAAUGCAGCUCUAAAUGGGUGGUAAAUUUCAUCUAAAGCUAAAUAUUGGCCGGAGACCGAUAGCGCACAAGUAGAGUGAUCGAAAGAUGAAAAGCACUUUGAAAAGAGAGUUAAAAAGCACGUGAAAUUGUUGAAAGGGAAGCGCUUGCGACCAGACUCGCCCGCGGGGUUCAGCCGGUAUUCGUACCGGUGUACUUCCCCGUGGGCGGGCCAGCGUCGGUUUGGGCGGCCGGUCAAAGGCCCUCGGAAUGUAACGCCUCUCGGGGCGUCUUAUAGCCGAGGGUGCCAUGCGGCCAGCCCGGACCGAGGAACGCGCUUCGGCACGGACGCUGGCAUAAUGGUCGUAAGCGACCCGUCUUGAAACACGGACCAAGGAGUCUAACAUCUACGCGAGUGUUCGGGUGUCAAACCCGUGCGCGCAGUGAAAGCGAACGGAGGUGGGAACCCUUUGGGUGCACCAUCGACCGAUCCUGAUGUCUUCGGAUGGAUUUGAGUAAGAGCGUAGCUGUUGGGACCCGAAAGAUGGUGAACUAUGCCUGAAUAGGGCGAAGCCAGAGGAAACUCUGGUGGAGGCUCGCAGCGGUUCUGACGUGCAAAUCGAUCGUCAAAUUUGGGUAUAGGGGGCGAAAGACUAAUCGAACCAUCUAGUAGCUGGUUUCCUGCCGA
rnacentral:rRNA from 1 species